CGGCGAGUGAACCGGGAAAAGCUCAAAUUUGAAAUCUGCCAACAGGCCGAGUUGUAAUUUGUAGAUGGCUACACUGCAUAAUAGUAGAUGCUCAAGUUCUUUGGAAAAAGACAUCAUGGAGGGUGACAAUCCCGUGAGGCAUGUUACUAGGAGCAUAUAGUGGGCUUUCUAAGAGUCGAGUUGUUUGGGAAUGCAGCUCAAAGUGCGUGGUGAAUACCAUGUAAAGCUAAAUAUGGACGAGAGACCGAUAGCGAACAAGUACUGUGAAGGAAAGAUGAAAAGCACUCCGAAAGGAGAGUGAAAUAGUACGUGAAAUUGUUAAAGUGGAAGGGCUUGAGAUCAGAAUUGGUAGUUUGGGUUCCACGUCCUCUUGGGGGCGUGUACUCCCUUUCCACCGGGCCAGCGGGAGUUUCGUCUCUUGGGUAAAAGCAGUGGAAUGUAGCAGCUUGUCUGUAUUAUAGCCUCUGUUCAUACAAGACGUCGAGACUUGAUUUGUUGGCGUAAUGAUCUCUAGCCACCCGUCUUGAAACACGGACCAAGGAGUCUAUUGCCUAUGCGAGUGUUUGGGUGGAAAACCCUUGCGCGUAAUGAAAGUGAA
rnacentral:rRNA from 1 species